ensembl:lncRNA
GCGCAUUUUAAUGAAACGUUUUAUAUUUUAUAUAAAUCUAGAGAUAGAAGAAGUGACAGCAUGCAUGAAUAAACAUCACCUUUAAGUUAUUACACCCCUUUACAUCACUUUAAGAGAUAAGGCCGCAAUUUUCACCCCAAACUAGGCUCCAUUCAGUGACAUUGCAGUUACAAGCCAGCAGAAGUCCAAUUCAUUUCAAAUCCAAAAGCAAGCUAUUCAAUUAAAGCACAUUUUAAGGCAUAACAGGCAUAAGAAUAAUACUGUAAAUAACUAUUUACAUUCAUUAAGGUGUAAUAUACAUCAGUGCAUCUGCAGCAGGCUGUACACUGCGUCAUUGGUG